GUCAGCCCAGGACGCGGGGUACAGGGACGGGGACGGGGGCCGGAUCAGCCCAGGACUAGGGGUCAGGAUUACUUGGGGCCUCAUCAGCCCAGGACAAGGGGGUCAGGUGACCUGGGGCCUUGUCAGCCCUGGACAGAGGCCAGGACAAAGGGGUUGGGUUCACCUGGGGCCUUGUCAGCCCUGGACAGAGGUUCAGGUGACCUGAGCCCCUGUCAACCCAGGACACAGGGGUCAGGGUCAGUCUGGGCCCUCAUCAGCCCAGGACACAGGGGUUGGGUUCACCUGGGACCUUGUCAGUCCUGGAUACAGAACUGGGGGUUCCUGGGCUGGCUGAGGGUUUCCUCAGGCCCUGUCACCCCCCACACAUAGGGUUCAUUGUCCCCUGAAUUCUCCCAGCCCCUGAAUACGGGGUCUGGAUCUCCACGUUGUCAGUGCUCUGAAAUGGGUUUUAGGGUUCAGCCCUUAUUACCCCUGAGACCCCCAGCCCUGUGGGUUCUGGACAUGCCCCCACCCCCAUCCACUGGUACCAGUGCCCGGGACACAGGGACACAUGGACAGCCCUGUGCAUCUCUUCGCAUUCUUUGAACCGGGCCACACCGUCCAUGCCCACCUCCUCAGACCCAGCAUGUGGGCCGGGGUCCUCCUGGCACUGUCACUGACACCUGUUCCCAGAGGCCCCUGCACAGCCACAUCUCCCAUCCCACAGCCACUGGUCUCUGGCACCCCUCCUCUCCCUGUCACUUCCCUGCUGAGCCCCGCCCUUCCCCACAUCACUCUCAGCUCGGUAUCUUUGGGUCUGUCACACCCUGGGUCUCCACUGCUCCCCCUGCCUUGAUUCCAUUUCUGGGAACCACCUCAGCCCAUCCCAGGGCAACCCCAACCAUGAGCCCUGCCUGUCCAGCGUGUGCCCCCUGCCCAGAUGGCCCCUGGCUGCCCGACACCCUGUGUCCUUCUCCCAGAGACCACAGGACCUGGGUGACCCUGCCUCCCACAGCCCUCACCUCCAGGAGUGACUGUGGGCUCUGGGCCCAGGACUGGCUGCUUGUUGCGGUUCCUUCUCAAAGGGAGCCACUGUCCACAGGUCCAAGUGCCUGCUGGGCGGCUGUUCCCAGAGGCAGCCCCUGCAGGUGUGCAGCAAAGGGGCCGACACAGAGCUCUUGGGUCAAGGCUGGCACGUGCUCCUUGCUUACCUGGAGGUCAUCAGAGUUGCCCCACGCCCCUGGCCUUCGGGCAGGUGGAGGCAUUGGGUUCCUCUAAGGUCUUUGGUUGGGGAAGUUUGGGCCCAGAACACAGCACUCUGUCCUCAAAGACUAUGACGUCACAUGCAGGUUGCGUCACACGCAGGUCGCGGUGCACUCCAUCCUUGGAAGUGUUCCUGGCCGUAGCCAGGCUGAGGGUGCCUGCAGACCCAGGCCUGUCCACAAGAUGUCCCCCCACGGACAUGCCUGGCCGCUGCUCCAGGGAGGGUCAGAGGGAUGAUUGGGGCAGAGGGAUGGAUUUGCCCAAAUGUGGCAGCCAGGCCCCAUGCAUUUGGCAUGGCCAGCUCCUUCAGGAAGGCGGGAGAGAUGGAACAAGGUGGUGACUCUCCAGGGCAGAGCGGCAAGGCCCUAAGGUGUGGACUCCAGGGGAAGCGGGCUCACCCCAACGGGCCGAGCUCCGCAGGUGUGGUGGGCUUUUCCCUAACCCCGGGCCCUGUUGUUUGACAUGGAAACAGCUUUCUCCCUCAGUCCUGCAUGUUGAGUGUCCAGAACCGGAUGGUGACACCAGGCAGACUGGGUGCUGUCAUAGGCCCUCCUUCCACAGAGUUCAUGCACCCCUGUGUGCACCAGGCCUGGCGUGGAGUGGAGCCCACUUGAGUGGAGGGAGGCAGAGCGUGGCGACGCGCAGGGAAGUGCCUGUGACUGAGAAGGCACCCCCUGCAGGCCCAGAGCCUCCAUGGUGACAGUUCUGAGCGCAGCAUGCUGCCCACGUGCAGCACAUCCCUGCCCUGUGGGAUUGUUAGAAGGCUCCAGGGAGGAUCCUUCCUGCCUUUUCCCACUUCUGGUGGCUCCACGCACUCCCGGGCUUGUGGCUCCAGUUUCUGCCUCCGCCUCCGUGCCGCACUGUUCCUGCGUGUCUGUGUCUCCAUGUGGUGAUUUCCUCACAGGGACACCAGUCAUUGGAUUAGGACUUAACCUGUGACAUCUUAACUUGAUGACAUCUGCUAAGACCCUCAGGGGGCGACACAGUUCAACUAAGACCCUCUUUCCAUCCGAGGUCCCAUUCACAGGUACUGGGGUUAGGACUUCACCCUGUCUUCUGGGGGCGAUACCCUUCAACCUACAACAGCCCUUGGUGAGUGUCCACAACGCUAAUGAGGUGAGAGUGGCAUCCCCUCAAGCGAACAACUUUCCCCAAAUUGCAGCCAGAUGUGGCCCAGCAAAGAGCCAGGGUGCAGCCAUCAGCAAGCAGAGCCCCCCAGUUCUGGAGGGUGUGUGCCGAGAUGCUUCUGGGGAAAGGCCUGGGCCUGGGGCUGGGCUGCAGCUGUGGGACAAGCUGCUGUCUGGGCCAGGAGCCACUCAGCGUCGCCAAGCUGCUGUCCAAGUUAAACCAAUUCAGCAUCUGGCACCUUGUUUACAAGCGUGAUUUGGGGGUUUCUUGCUCUCCAGCUGGCAAGCAGCUGGCAGUGGUCAGCUGAGGCCAGAGCCUGGGGGCACAUCUCCCAUGGCAGCCCAGAGGGCAAUGGACACCCCCCACUCCGCCCAGCCCUGUGACCCCAUAUGGAUGCUUUCGCUGGGUGAGGCUGCAGCCCCCGCAGGGAGUGCUGGACUUGGGCGCUUUUGCUUUACCUGGGACUUGAUGAGAUGGGGCACCCGAGACCAGCCACGCAUUCCACAGCUGUGCCCCAGGGUCCAGGGGAUGGGGCUGGGGGUGGUCGGACAAAACCACUGCCCACACUUGGAGCUGGGGGCAGCCGAACAACACCACUGCCCACGCCUUCCUGGCGAGAGACGGUUCCAGUCUCCCCGGUGCUGGCGUGGGCACGCCGUGGGACAGAAGCGCAGUCAUUCGGCAGAGGCUCCCGGCUGUUCUCACAUUGUCAGACCCACCGUCAAGGUCAUUUCAACGGCCCCUUUGCCCGGCCGGGCCUCCUGAGUUCCCUCUGAGCCUCAGAGCAGCUCGUACACACAGCUUUGGGUUUCUAAUGGGGAUGGGGUCUUCAGGCCUCAGCCCCUUCUGGGCAUUUCUUCCGUUACAAAGGAAAGGAAAUGUACCGAACACUAGAAACAGUGUUUAAUAAAUAGCAGAUUUCUCUUCC